AGCCAAAAAUAUAACAAUAAUUAGUAAAAUAGGACAGGAGACAGCCCUAUCAAGGAUCACACUGCCUACCAGCAGUGGCUGAAACAAAACUAAAUUCUGAACUGGAAUUAUUUCAGAUUAGGAGAUGUACAGUUCAACAAGGGCCAAAUAGGAUAUAAGGCAGUUAAAACCCAAUGCCUGGAGACUGUCUGAAUGAGGAGAAAGAUUCAGAUUCAUCUCAAGCAAGAUGGAAAGACUGCUGAUUCAAAAGUCUUCAAGGGAUUAUCAAUAUUGAUUUUUGAUGGGGUUAUACUUUUCAGGGAGAGCAUGCUUGAAAGCUGGGGAUCCGUUGGGACAGAUUCCUCCUUAAAGACAAUCCUUUGUUUUGUGCUUUUGUCACUUCUUACAUUGAUUACAGUGAAUUAUUUUCUAUGGAGUUCCACCUGGGACUACCCAAAAAAUACAGCUAGUAUAAAAUCCCAAAAGCUGGAGGACAAUGGUGGGUAUUCUCCACGGAGGCUCUCCUCCGCUAGAACAACAUACCUCAUGAGGCAAAGGUAGCUCCAUGGUCUUGCAGAAACCUAUCAAGAUCUGGUCUUUAAAACACAGCUUUGGGACUGAUUACUCAAGGCAUGUAUGUCAGAGUGUUUUUAUAACUGUUUUAAUUUAUAAAUUAAAUUUUAAUUUUUGCUUUAGUUUAUUGUAUUACUGUUUUAUUAUAAUUUGGAUGUGUACUUUGUCUAGAGGUUAUCAAAUCUGAGGCACUGGAUAAAUUUCAUAAAUAAAAAUAAAAUUCUUCUAGUCUUCCAUCUACAGUCAAGUACUGGCUUAAUUUUUUAAUGUUUGGCAUAUCCUCUAAAACCAACUCAUCUCACAAUUCAUUAGCUACUCUCUUUUUAAAUUAGUCAAAUAAAGCCAGUUCAUUACACUCCAUUCCAAGCAAAAACAUUGGAAAUCAACAAUAAAUGUCCAUACUUUGUAAGUGUAAUUUCAUCAGUAGAUAUUGUCAUUCUGGCAGAGUCACCAAAGGCAGAUGAACCUUUAAGUAAAACAUUGAUAUAACUAUCCAGAACAGGAUUAUUUUCUAGAUUUAGAAUGGCCAUUUGGAAGCUUUGUCAAAAGUCAAAGGAUAAAUCUCAUCCAAGAAUGAUCUGG